rnacentral:lncRNA from 1 species
UUUCCUUCCUCAACUUGGUGUCUGAGGGUUUUGUCUGCGGCUCGUCCUGCUACAUUUCUUGGUGCCCCGACCAGGAAGUGAGGUGAUUAGCGGACGGUUGAGGCAACCCCUUAGGUGGCUUAGGCCUGCCCUGUGGAGCAUCCCUGUGGGGCACUCUGGCCAGCUUUAGCGACACAAAUCCUGAGAGCACUCCCGGGUAGGCAAUUGCCCUGGUGGAAUGCCUUGCCAGAGCAGUGCACGGUAGGCCCCCAUGGAGGAUCAACGCAGUGGCUGAACACCCAGAAGGAAUUGGCGCUUGGACUCCAGACAUCUGGAACACGGGCACAAUGGUGAAGAACAUGAUGCCACGGUUACAGCUCCAUGCCACAGCCUCACACUACUGUUUGUAUCCUUGCUGGAAAUGUCAACACUGUGACAAAGACAAACAAUGUCUUAGUAAUUUUAUGAAUUAAUGAAAAUCAUUUUGACUUUGCAGACCUCCUGAAAGUGCCUCAGCAACCCCCAGGUGCCUAGGGACCUGCUAUUUAAAUGUUCCUUGCAAAACUUGUGUAGAAAUUUAAUUGCCAAUGUAAUAAUAUUAGAAGGUGGGGACUUUAAGAGGUGAUUGGGUCAUGAGGGCUCUGCCCUCACGCAUAAAUUAAUGCCAUUACCAUGGGAGCGGGUUAGUUAUUGCAGGAGUGGGCCCCUAAUAAAAGGAUGAGGUCUGCUCCUAUUUCUCCCUCUCACAGAGUGUGUCAUGCGUUUUUGCCGUCCCUUGCUUUUUCUCAUCACGGGUUGUCUUCUUCCAUGUUGUGAUGAAACAUGAAGGUCCUCACCAGAUGUGGCCCCUUGAUCUUGGACUUGCCAGCCUCCAGAACCUUGAGUCAAGAAAAUCUCUCUUCUAUAUAAAAGAAAUCUCUUUAUACCCAGAGAUUUUUUUCUUUUUCUUUAUACCCAGUCUGUGGUACUCUGUUUAAGCAGUAAAAAAUGGACUAAGACAGGACUACAUCUUGAAAACAGCUGAUGUAGGGUAACUGGGUGUGAAGAUGGAACAGAACAGAGCCAGUUGGAAACUUUUCUCUGAGUUGGGCCACCAUCACCAGAAUGGAUGCGGAUUUUGGCUUAUUUAAGCAGAAUAGGGAUUUACUGAACAGAUACUGGGUAGCCCACUGAAUCACCAGGGGUCCUAAAGAGCCACGCUUAUAAAAUGGGCAGGAAGAACCAAAAGGAGGCUAUAUGUCCAGAACCUGGGCCAAUAUCCCACCUUGGAAGCAGUCAGGUGACAGGAAUGUACUGCUAUUUUCCUCUGCAGCUGCUGUUGAACACAGGAUGUGGCAUCUUACAUCACAGACACCCCAGCGCUGGUCUGUGGAGGCUGUUGUCCCAGCUGUCAUCCUCACUUUGUCUCCUGGACAGAUUUAGACUGAGUCUCUAAGUGAACCUUUGAUUGGCUGAGCCUGGGUUUCUUACUUAUGUCCUAGCUGUGCUGUAUGCUGGGGAAGCUAUUAUUAUACAACACCUCCAGCUCCUAUCGUGGAAUGAAACCCUGCUCCCUAUGAAGACUUGCAAGAAGAGGAAUUCUCCGUGAGAAGGAAAGAGGUUUGGAUGCUAAGCAGCCAAAACAUGACAACUGCCUGAGCCUUCUUCAGCUGGAGCUACACAUUUGGUAGUAAUCACCCAUGAGCUGAUCACUGGAAAAACGGGGUUUAAGAAAAUUCCAAGGAAGAAAACAUUGAGUGAGACAAUAAGGUGAUCUGGGAAUGAGCCUUGAGACCUCCUAGCAUUUAAAGGCUGAGUGGAAGAAGAUGAACCUUCAAAGAUGACUGAGAAGGAGCAGCAAGAGGAGGUGCAGAAGGGUGUUGUAUUUCAGAAGCCAAGAGGGAAGGGUGCUUUGAGGAGGAAGGAGUAUUUUCGGUGUUGAAUCCUGCCCAGAGACCCAGAAAGCUGAGAUCUGAGAAAUGUCCAUUAAUGAAUUAUCAAAUGCCCACCAAUCAACUCCUUCCCAUUUCUUCUCUAUUGCACUGGAGUGUGAAUUAUUGUUACUUCCCAAAAAGUCAGGGGAGAUGGGAAUAUCCUUUAUUCAAGACAGAGUUAUUCCAGAACAAAGGAUGAGGCCACCAUUUGGACAUCAUUCUCUAAGCACAAGGCAGUCCCUUCUGCAACCAGGGGCCCAGGCUGAGUCCUUUGCUUCCAGGCAGCCUGACAGACUGCACAUGGUGAGCUAUAGGAAGAUCGUUCUGCCUCAACAAAUUAGCAAAUAGCUAUAAUCUAUUCACCAACAUGUCAUGGAGCAUCACCUGUGCUUACUAAGCUCUGUGUUAAGAAUUGGCUCUUAUAGGGAGGAUAAAACAAUAUAUGAGAUAGAAUGCAGACGUAAAUUCAAAAGCACACACAAAACAAUAUGAAAAGAGACCCACACGAGUAGAGCCCCACCUCCUCUCUGGUGCUUAUUCUAGUUUGCUAGGAUACGGUCUCUGGAGCCCCUGGCCUCCCUGAGGGUCACUCCCUCCUCAAACCCAUCCUCACCAUGCUACUCUGGACCUGCCUAAGGCCCACUCACCUCUUAGGCUUCAGUUUAGACAUUAGCUCUUCCAUGAAGCCUCUCUGACUUACAAGUCUGCUAAAGAAUUUUACUGUGCAUCCCUGUAACAUCUUCGUUUCUUUAUCUUUCCCUUUAUGUGCCUGUUUACUGAUCUUCCUCAUUAGAUGGAAAGUUUUAAAUGCAGGACCUUGUUUAUCUUAUUUACCAUUGUAGGGCUUUCUCACAAUUGCCUCCCCAGCACCUGGCAUAUAGUAGAUGCUCAGUAAAUAUUUAUGGAAUGAAUAUGUGAAUCAAUGGCUGAUUGAAUAAAUCAAAGAGUCUGUGAGUACUGACAAGCCACAAUGUAGAAGAAUAUUAUGAGCUGCGUGGAGAAGCCAGAAAGGCUAGCUAGAAGCUGAAGUUCUGUGCAGGAUUAGGAAGGCAGAAAAUCCAGAUUUGCAGGAGUCAGAGGUGCCAGAUUAGACAGUUGAUACCUUUUGAGUGGGAUGGGGAAGGAUUUGCACUGCUGGAGGGAAAUGUCUAUUUUGGGUAGUAACUAAGAGUUUUCUAAGUAUUCUAGAUGCUGCUGGGAGAGCAUGCUCCUUCCCAGCCCAUGUCAUAGCUUGUUGCAGUAAAUGCUGGGGCACAAGAAGCCUGACCUUUUGUACCCUUCUCUGCCACCAUGCCUGUGUCAACACCACAGCCUUGGGUGGCAGUGUCAGUGGCAGUGGUUGGAGUGGGAUGCAGGUGCCCUACAGGAAGGACCCAGCCCCACUGGCUGAGGGGAUCUGUGAUGUGAAGGAUCCAGCCAACCCUUGGCCACGUGACAGGAACACCAUCUGCACCCUGGGCGCCUAGAUUUUGCAGCUGCCACAGCCUACUCAGGCAUAUUUGACACAAGCUUAGCAAAUAGCUUUUCCAGGAGGUUUGCAAAUUUCCAAUCUGCUGUCCCACGUUUUCCUCUACAACUGCCACCAACCAAAUGUUAAAUUGGAUCCAAGACCUGCGGGGUAAUCAGCAAACGUACGGGCUCAUUGCAGAAUUGGAAAGGAGACUGGGCUCAGGUGGCCCUCUGAACGGACUCUUCCUAGAAAUUAUACUGUUAUUAUGGCAAAAAUUAUGAUGCCAUAUAUAGGAGUAAUUGUCAAAUCUUUACUAGCGUAUCUGUCUUUACAAGUCGAUGUAUCCUUAAGACAUUACAUAUAAAUUGAACUUUUGUUACUUUAAUACAAAAUCAGUGCAAUUUUUAAUGUUAUUUUAAGGAAUUCUCCAGAAAGCAUUCCUUUUGCCAAAGCAAAAAAAAAAAAAAAAAAAAAAAUGACCCUCAGUUUGUUUUUGCAAAUUGUCUCUAAAUGUGGAUGUAUUUAUGUGUGUGUUUGUAUCUUCUGUGUGCCUGUGUUGAGGAUCAUCAGUCUCUUUUGAGAAAUGCAGAAAAAGUUGGCUUUAGCACUUCCAUGAUUAAUUUAAAGAGAGAGGGAAAGAUUGUUAUAUAUACAAGGUAGUUGGCACUAAGAUUUCAUCUUCAUUGUUACCCACACAACAUCAUCCACACAACAAAGACAUAAAUGCAAAAUUGCACAGCAUGCUGGGAUGAAUACAUUACAGCUCAGAUCUGCAUUUCAAAUUUAGCUUUUUGAUAUCUUAAUAUCCAUGGGGGUUAAAAGUACUAACUAAUUGAAGAACCGGGGACUUCAUUGCUGUUACUGAACAAAUCUAAUUAUAGAAAAGACAAAUUUAUAAACAUACAAUAGAAAUUAUCUGGGAUGAUUAGAGUGUCUCCAACUCCUGUUCUCUUCAGCUGAAAUGACCAUUUCUCCUCUCAUUUCCACAUUGGUUACCAAACAACUUUUGCAGGAAUUUUCCAAAUGAUAUUGAGUGUGACUUUGGGAGUCAGAGUCAUAGUAUCUUAGAGCAUCGGUCCCCCAACCUUUUUGGCACCAGGGACUGGUUUCUUGGAAGACAAUUUUUCCAUGGACCUGGGUAGGGAGGAUACUUUUGGGAUGAUUCAAGCACAUUACAUUUAUUGUGAACUUUAUUUCUAUUAUUAUUACAUUAUAAUACAUAAUGAAAGAAUUAAACAACUCACAAUAAUAUAGAAUAAGUGAGAGCCCUGAAUUUGUUUUCCUGCAACUAGACAGUCCCGUCUGGGGGUUACAGUGACAGAUCAUUAGGCAUUAGAUUUUCAUAAGGAGCAUGCAACUUAGAUCCUGCACAUGUGUAGUUACAAUACUGUUCAUUCUCCUAUGAGAAUCUAAUGCCACCACUGAUGUGACAGGAGGCAGAGCUCAGGCAGUAAUGUGAGUGAUGGGGAGCAGCUGUAAAUACAGAUGAAGCUUUGCUUGCUUGCCCACAGCUCACCUCCUGCUGUGUGGCCCAGUUCCUAACAGGCCAUGGUGGCUCGAGGGUUGGGGACCCCUGCCUUAGAGUAAGUCACUUUAAAUGUUCAAGUUCACUCAACUGUGUGAGGUAGAGAGAUCAGCUAAUUUAGGCCCCAAGGUAUCUGGGGGUACUUGUAUAAUUGUGAGCCAAGAGAAAAGUGGGUAUAUUUUGAAGUUCUUAGAGGAAUUUGCAGCCAGUGAAUAUUUUUUCUGUAGCGCAUAUCACUACUGAUGCUCCCGGUGGUCCCCUGUUCCUAGGCCUCAUGGAAGUUCCCCUAAGGUAGAAGUAGCUUUAAGUGUAGAGGGGCCCUCUCUGCUGCCAGGUAUAUAAAGAAAUACCACUCACCAAUGUACUCUUCUGCAUGUUAGUUGCGUAGCAUAUGCCACAUGACUUUCCUGCACUGCAUGGUACUGGGUGCCCAUUGCCCCUCUGCCUGGAGAGAGGGCUGCAUUGCACACACACAGCCUAAACUAGUCUUCAUAUAGCUAUUUGUUCUUUUAUUCAUUUACUCAGCAAGCAGCCUGCACUGUGCCUUGUUCUGCUCUAAGUGCUGAGAGUACAAGAUUAUAUAAAUCUCAUAUGGAUAUCCGUUAGUUCUAGCACCCUUUGUUGAAAACACUGUCCUUUCCCCAUUAAAUGACCUUACUAACUUCGUUGAAAUUCUAUUUCUAGAUUCUAUCAUGUUUUAUCAUUCUAUCCUGUGCCAAUAGCACAUUGUCUUGAUUACUGUGAGUCUUGAAAUCAAAUAGUGCAUGUCCUCCAACUUUGUUCCUUUUUUUCAGAAUUUCUUUGGCUAUUACAGAUCUUUGCAUUUCCAUAUAAAUUUUAGAAUCAACUUGUCCUUUUUUAUAAAAAAAUCCUGCUUUAAAAAAUUCUGAUUGCAUUGAAUCUAUAGCUCAAUUUGUGGAGAUGUGACAUCUUAAUAUUGAGUCUUCUCAUCCAUGGACAUGGUAUUUCUCUCCAUUUAUUUAGAUCUUUUAAAAUUUCUCCCAGUUGUGUUUUGUAGUUUUCAGUAUACAGGUCUUACACAUAUUUUGUGAAAUUUAUCUCUUAAUAUUUUAUACUUUUGAUGCUACUGCAAAUGGUAAAUUUAAAAUUCCAAUUUCUAGUUGUUCAUUGCUAUUUAUAGGAAUACUGUACAGUUAAUUUUUGAAUAUUUAUCUCAUAUGCUGGGACAUUGCUAAACUCACUUAUUAGCUCUGGGAAACGUUUUGGUAGAUUUCUUAGGAUUUUCCAUGUACAUGAACAUGUCAUCUGUGAAUAAAAAUAAUUUAUUUCCUUUUUUCCAAUCUAUAAGCCUGUUAAUUAUUUUUCUUUCUUUAUUGUUCUGAUUUGGAAUUCCAGUACAAUGUUGGACAAGAGUGGAUUUCUUUGUCUUAUUUCAGGUAUUUGAGAAAGCAUUUAGUCCUUCACUACUGAGUAUGAUGUUAGCGUAAGUUUUUCAUAGGUGUCCUUUAUCAGGUAGAAAUUUUCUUCUAUUCCUAGUUUGCUGAGAACUUUUUUAAAAAUUUUAUGUGUGGGUAUUGAAUUUUGCCAAAUGCUUUUUCUGCAUCUAUUAAGAUGAUCAUAUGGGUUUUCUCUAACUUUGUCAAUGUGGUAAAUUACGUAAUUUGAUUUUUGAAUGUUAAACCAAUUUUGGAUUCCUGGGAUAAGCUCCAUUUGGUCAUGGUGUAUUAUCCUUUUUUACUGUUGGAUUAGAUUGGAUUUUAUUAAGAAUUUUUACCUUUAUGUUCAUGAUGGAUAUUG